rnacentral:rRNA from 1 species
AUUGAACGCUGGCGGCAGGCCUAACACAUGCAAGUCGAGCGAGCGGCGGAGGGGUGAGGAAUGUCUGGGAAACUGCCGGAUGGAGGGGGAUAACUACGGGAAACGGUAGCUAAUACCGCACAACAUCAGAUGUCGCCAGAUGGGAUUAGCUAGUAGGUGGGGUAACGGCUCACCUAGGCCACGAUCCCUAGCCGGUCUGAGAGGAUGACCAGCCACACUGGGACUGAGACACGGUCCAGACUCCUACGGGAGGCAGCAGUGGGGAAUAUUGCGCAAUGGGCGCAAGCCUGAUCCAGCCAUGCCGCGUGUAUGAAGAAGGUCUUCGGGUUGUAAAGUACUUUCGGCGGGGAGGCGUUACCCGCAGAAGAAGCACCGGCUAACUCCGUGCCAGCAGCCGCGGUAAUAC